UUAUGGUGUUUUUCUAAUUUUUCCCAAGAACAGAGCUGUAAAUUUUUUAACUACUGUAUGUAAAGGCAUGUGUAUCGGAUAGCUGUGGAAGAUUAACUUUGAUUUGCUUCUUGAAAGAACUAAAGUAGUAUCUAGACUGUCAAAACCUAACAUUAUUCGCAAUUUCUAUUGAUAUUUGGCAACUGCUCGAUAAAAGUAUUGAACUGAAUUUGUCACCACUUGACCCGAUUGAAAAGUUUCUGCCAUCGAAAAUCUAAAAUGGUUGGUCCCUCUUUCAAUUUCUCGUCACCCUCCGUAUACAUCUUUCAGGAUUCACUUCUUCAUAACUCCGCCGACAGAAUUAUAAUUAGAAUAAUAAAAAUCAAUGAUCUCAACACAUUUUUCUUGAAAUUUUGAUGAAUUCAACUUCACUAAUCCAGAAAACACAGAAUGCAAAAGUUUUGCCAUCUACAAAGGAAAAUUUUGCCUGAGUAUAUUGUGCCUAAAUAUUGAAAAAUCAAAAUCAGUAAACCUACCUUGAAAGGAAUUCUGUUAUUGAUGCAGAAGAAACCUCCAAUCGACAGACAGA